rnacentral:rRNA from 1 species
GAAUGCUAAUACCGCAUACGUCCUACGGGGGAAAGCAGGGGAUCUUCGGACCUUGCGCUAAUAGAUGAGCCUAAGUCGGAUUAGCUAGUUGGUGGGGUAAAGGCCUACCAAGGCGACGAUCUGUAGCGGGUCUGAGAGGAUGAUCCGCCACACUGGGACUGAGACACGGCCCAGACUCCUACGGGAGGCAGCAGUGGGGAAUAUUGGACAAUGGGCGCAAGCCUGAUCCAGCCAUGCCGCGUGUGUGAAGAAGGCCUUUUGGUUGUAAAGCACUUUAAGCGAGGAGGAGGCUCCUUUAGUUAAUACCUAAAGAGAGUGGACGUUACUCGCAGAAUAAGCACCGGCUAACUCUGUGCCAGCAGCCGCGGUAAUACAGAGGGUGCGAGCGUUAAUCGGAUUUACUGGGCGUAAAGCGUGCGUAGGCGGCUUUUUAAGUCGGAUGUGAAAUCCCUGAGCUUAACUUAGGAAUUGCAUUCGAUACUGGAAAGCUAGAGUAUGGGAGAGGAUGGUAGAAUUCCAGGUGUAGCGGUGAAAUGCGUAGAGAUCUGGAGGAAUACCGAUGGCGAAGGCAGCCAUCUGGCCUAAUACUGACGCUGAGGUACGAAAGCAUGGGGAGCAAACAGGAUUAGAUACCCUGGUAGUCCAUGCCGUAAACGAUGUCUACUAGCCGUUGGGGCCUUUGAGGCUUUAGUGGCGCAGCUAACGCGAUAAGUAGACCGCCUGGGGAGUACGGUCGCAAGACUAAAACUCAAAUGAAUUGACGGGGGCCCGCACAAGCGGUGGAGCAUGUGGUUUAAUUCGAUGCAACGCGAAGAACCUUACCUGGCCUUGACAUACUAAGAACUUUCCAGAGAUGGAUUGGUGCCUUCGGGAACUUAGAUACAGGUGCUGCAUGGCUGUCGUCAGCUCGUGUCGUGAGAUGUUGGGGUUAAGUCCCGCAACGAGCGCAACCCUUUUCCUUAUUUGCCAGCGGGUUAUGCCGGGAACUUUAAGGAUACUGGCCAGUGACAAACUGGAGGAAGGCGGGGACGACGUCAAGUCAUCAUGGCCCUUACGGCCAGGGCUACACACGUGCUACAAUGGUCGGUACAAAGGGUUGCUACCUCGCGAGAGGAUGCUAAUCUCAAAAAGCCGAUCGUAGUCCGGAUCGCAGUCUGCAACUCGACUGCGUGAAGUCGGAAUCGCUAGUAAUCGCGGAUCAGAAUGCCGCGGUGAAUACGUUCCCGGGCCUUGUACACACCGCCCGUCACACCAUGGGAGUUUGUUGCACCAGAAGUAGGUAG